rnacentral:misc_RNA from 1 species
AUGAGUGGGUUUCCCCUCACGAGCUGAUGGCUAGUUGGUGGUGGUUGAUCUUCCAAUGGGACGACGCAUGAGUGGUGAUUAGGAUUGUGCUUUCAUGCAGGCUCUGCGUAUCGUACGUCGAACUGUGUGGAGCCAAUCGUUUCAGUAACCAUUGCGC